rnacentral:rRNA from 1 species
AGAGUUUGAUCCUGGCUCAGGAUGAACGCUGGCGGCGUGCCUAACACAUGCAAGUCGAGCGGAGAUAACGUGCUUCGGCGUGUUAUUUCAGCGGCGGACGGGUGAGUAACGCGUGAAGGACCUGCCCCUUACAGAGGGAUAACAUCGAGAAAUCGGUGCUAAUACCGCAUAAGACCACGGUGCUGCAUGGCAUUGAGGUAAAAGGAGAAAUCCGGUAAGGGAUGGCUUCGCGUCCCAUUAGAUAGUAGGCGGGGUAACGGCCCACCUAGUCGGCGAUGGGUAGCCGACCUGAGAGGGUGAUCGGCCACACUGGAACUGAGACACGGUCCAGACUCCUACGGGAGGCAGCAGUGGGGAAUAUUGGGCAAUGGGCGAAAGCCUUACCCAGCAACGCCGCGUGAGAGAAGAAGGUUUUCGGAUUGUAAAUCUCUGUCCUGGGGGACGAAGAAAGUGACGGUACCCCGGGAGGAAGCCCCGGCUAACUACGUGCCAGCAGCCGCGGUAAUACGUAGGGGGCGAGCGUUGUCCGGAAUUAUUGGGCGUAAAGGGCGUGUAGGUGGCCAGAUAAGCGUAAUGUGGAAGUCCAUAUUUCAAGUAUGGAAGUGCGCUAUGAACUGUCUGGCUUGAGCGCAGGAGAGGGAAGCGGAAUUCCUGGUGUAGCGGUAAAAUGCGUAGAUAUCAGGAGGAACACCGGUGGCGAAGGCGGCUUUCUGGACUGUAACUGACACUGAGGCGCGAAAGCGUGGGGAUCAAACAGGAUUAGAUACCCUGGUAGUCCACGCUGUAAACGAUGAAUGCUAGGUGUAGGAGGUAUCGACCCCUUCUGUGCCGCAGCUAACGCAAUAAGUAUUCCACCUGGGGAGUACGUUCGCAAGAAUGAAACUCAAAGGAAUUGACGGGGACCCGCACAAGCGGUGGAGCAUGUGGUUUAAUUCGAAGCAACGCGAAGAACCUUACCUGAUCUUGACAUCCUCCUGACCAUCUGAUGUAAUGUCGGACUUCCUUCGGGACAGGAGAGACAGGUGGUGCAUGGUUGUCGUCAGCUCGUGUCGUGAGAUGUUGGGUUAAGUCCCGCAACGAGCGCAACCCUUGUCCUUAGUUGCCAGCACUUCGGGUGGGCACUCUAGGGAGACUGCCAGGGAUAACCUGGAGGAAGGUGGGGACGACGUCAAAUCAUCAUGCCCCUUAUGACCAGGGCUACACACGUGCUACAAUGGCGUAAACAAAGAGAAGCGAGCCUGUGAAGGGGAGCCAACCUCAAAAAUAACGUCUCAGUUCGGACUGCAGUCUGCAACUCGACUGCACGAAGCUGGAAUCGCUAGUAAUCGCGAAUCAGAAUGUCGCGGUGAAUACGUUCCCGGGUCUUGUACACACCGCCCGUCACACCAUGGGAGUCGGAAAUGCCCGAAGCCUGUGACCCAACUUUUCGAAGAGGGAGCAGUCGAAGGUGGAGCCGAUGACUGGGGUGAAGUCGUAACAAGGUA